GAGUGAUAAAAUAUUAAUAAAAAUGUUACAAAUAUUUUUAAGAUGCUUUUUACGGUAGAGUAAUUUCAUUGAGAUAAAAAAAAAUACGAAGUGUUGGACGAACAUUAGAAGUUAGAAGUGCGCCUUAAGAGUUUGUUUUUCACUUCUUCGCUGCGCUUAUAUGUUUACUGGCCCACUUUGAUUUAACAUCCAUACCAACACAUUGGACUCAUAGCCAAUUGAGUGCGCCUGUCACCGCCCGAACCUAGGUAGCAGGAGUGAGACCUGUGUACACUAUGGCUAUGGAGUAAUCGAACUCCGAUUAAUUAUUUGCCGAUAAGGGAGCUCCCAGAGAAACAUCUUUCUCACUAUUCUUCAGUGACUAGUUGUUCAGCUGAAUCUAGAGUCUCCCGUAAAGUAGAUUCUCUCUGAUCGAAACAGAGCUCUUCCUGCUAAAUGAAUCUUGUGAGGAUCUGCUAGACUUAGUUUCCUAUUAAGUUUCAGUUACAUUAUAUGACUUGUUCAGAUGAAUCAAGAGUCGCUUGCGAAAUAGAUUCCCUUUGAUUGCAACGAACUCCUCCUGCUAAAAAAACCUGUGAGGCUGUGCUCUAAGCAGAAAUAUCUGACCUGGAUGUAUUGAUAGGAGGAUCUACGAGUUCCACUUCUCUGGCUAAGCGGUGGGAUAGUCUUGAAGGCGAGGUUUCUGGUUUCAGUUUUGUCUUGUAGGUUGACCGGUCUAUUACUGUCUCAUCCAUCUUCGUAUGCGAGAAUCUUGCUCUUGUUCUUUGGUUUUCUAAAUCAAAAUUCGAUUAUGUUUCCUUCAUUACCAUGUCGUUUGGGUGCUUUUACUUUCCUACGGAUGAUAAUCCGUUUGUUUCAUGUGAAGCUCUCUGUGAGGAGCUGAAAGAAAUUCAUGGAGAUCAGUUUGGGAUAUUUAUGAAGAUGAAGAGAGCUUUAUCCAAGAUCAGGCUGUGAAAAAUCUUUCAAUCGAUCCACUUUGUUGUUUGGUAUCGUAGAAGAUAUCUAUGACAUGGAUGUACGACCCAGUUUUCUUAACCGGAUCUGGUUUGAUUUUUUCUCCCUUUAAUUAAUUUGGACCAAACUCAAUUUAUUCCCUUUUGGUUUAGUCAAACCGUGUCUGCAUAUAUAUAAAAACGUGUAUCUCCUUCUUGACUAUAACCUAGCCGAAAAGAACCAUUCACGAUCUCCAUGUUCUCUCUGACCAUUUUUUUCUCCUCUUGAUGUUGACGUUGAUCAAAGGAUGGAAUCAUUGCCACGAUGUCAUUGUCUAUGCUCGUCGUCCUACAGCCACCUCGUCAUGUCGGACACACAACCGUGACUUUGGUGCCACCGUCCCAUCACCACCUCUUGACGUUGGAGUUGUCGCAGCCCACUGGUGAGACAUGCCGUCAUUGCCUGAGUCGUCGCAAGUCACCGCCGUUAAGACCCCGAGCAAGUAAAUCAUGAUCUUAUCACUUGCUUGCGCACCAAGCUUCUUAACUUUGAUUGAUCGCUUGUACCAAUUGCCGAGCCAACGUCAUGAGCCAUGAAUCCAUGCGUGAAGGUUUAUGUCACUUGGUUUGUUUCUUGAGAAGGAAGUUACUAUAAACCCUAAUCAUAUUUUUAUCUCAUAUAUUUGUUUCCUAAUCUAUUGUGUGAGGCCAACGCCGUGAUGCACUUGAUGGAUCCGAGCCUUUUACCGAUCUAUUGGUCCUUUCCGUUUAGCUAAGGGCACAAAGAUGUUGUGCUAACGGCGCAUUGUGUGGAGAUUGCGGAACACAAAGACGUUUGUGUUAGCGGCGCAUUGUAUGGAGAUUGCGAGGCAUAUGGACAUCUAUGCUAGCAGCGCAUUGUAUGGGGAUUGCGGGGUACAAAGACGUUUGUACUAGCAGCGCAUAGGUGAUUGCGGGGUACAAGGAUUGACUCUUGUACUAGCGGCGCAUAGAGUUAUAUAUUUAUAUCCGUAUAAGGAGAAUGUGGGGUGUGUGAUCUAGUUAUGCACUAUCAGCGCAUUUGAUGUUUUAUGUGGUGUAUUAGACACCGUGUUUGUUUCAUGGUAGAGCUAGGCCUACAUAGUCUACAUAGUCGUAGUGCUAUGUACUGAGUCAGUGGUUUGUGGUUUAGUAUCACAUACCUCACGGAGUAACUCUCAUGCUACUCACCCCUCCUUCUUUCUUCCCAUUGCAGGUGAGCUUGCCGAGUAGUUGGGUAUCUGGACGGUUUGGUGUCUCGGGAUCGUUGGAUUUUAUUUUGGUUAAUUAACGUUUCGAUUUAAUGUAUUUGGUUUUAAAUUAUAAACUCGUUUUAUGUGGAAAUUAUUUGAUUAAAAGUUUUGACAUUUUAAUCAGUUUUAUAAAUCGGUUUAAUUUGGUAUUUUCGGCUAGUAGCACGCCGUUCUCAAUAGAGGAGAAGACGGGUGUUACAAUUUGGUAUCAGAGCGGGGUUCCGUCUCGGCUCCGACCCGGGAUGGCGAUUUAUGGGAUUCAGAUUUCAACGGUUUUCAAUCUUUCGGAAUUGAGGUUUAAAAAAAAAAAUAUUGACACCAAGAAGUCCAGUAUCAUUCGGUUAGUUCUUAGAGUUUUUGAUUUGUUUUUCUUUGCAGGAGAAGACCAAGUUUAUGUUCGUUUCUUUUGUUUCCCAUCUCGUGUUCUUCUUCUUUCAUAGUCGUUGAAAUUUUUUCCCGGUUCUCUCUAAGAAUUCGGGACGAAUUCCGAUUAAAUAGGGAAUAAUUGUAACGACCCAGUUUUCUUAACUGGAUCUGGUUUGAUUUUUCUCCCUUUAAUUAAUUUGGACCAAA